UGCAAAGGUAGCAUAAUAAUUUGGCUUAUAAUUGAAGUCUUGUAUGAACGAAUACAUGGGGAAUAACUAUAUCAACAAUGUAAAAUGAAAUUACUAAAUACGUGCAAAUACGUAUAUUUACAUAAAAGACGAGAAGACCCUAGAAAUUUUUACUAUUUACGUUAACUCUUUUUGCUGGGGCGGCAUAGUAACAUGAAACUUACAUUAUUAUACAAGAAGUGAUAAUUUGCAGAAUGAUUAAAUUACUCUAGGGAUAACAGCAUAAUUUACUAUAGUUUGUGACCUCGAUGUUGGAUUAGGAAGU
rnacentral:rRNA from 1 species